GGUUAAGCGACUAAGCGUACACGGUGGAUGCCCUGGCAGUCAGAGGCGAUGAAGGACGUGCUAAUCUGCGAAAAGCGUCGGUAAGGUGAUAUGAACCGUUAUAGCCGGCGAUGUCCGAAUGGGGAAACCCAGUGUGAUUCGUCACACUAUCGUUAACUGAAUACAUAGGUUAACGAGGCGAACCGGGGGAACUGAAACAUCUAAGUACCCCGA
rnacentral:rRNA from 1 species